UACGUAGGUGGCAAGCGUUGUCCGGAUUUACUGGGUGUAAAGGGCGUGCAGCCGGAGAGACAAGUCAGGUGUGAAAUCCACGGGCUCAACCCGUGAACUGCAUUUGAAACUGUUUCCCUUGAGUGUCGGAGAGGUAAUCGGAAUUCCUUGUGUAGCGGUGAAAUGCGUAGAUAUAAGGAAGAACACCAGUGGCGAAGGCGGAUUACUGGACGAUAACUGACGGUGAGGCGCGAAAGCGUGGGGAGCAAACAGG
rnacentral:rRNA from 1 species